GAGGCCUCCGAGUAGGCCUCCCUGAAGCCUGAACUCGAGUAGGCCCCUAGCAAGGAAGGAGGGAAGGAGGAAGCAGGCAGCAGACCCUCUGCCCAGACCAGACCAUCCAGAACAGCUAUUGCAAGAAAGUGAUCUAUCUGUCGAAAAGCAAUUCACACCCUUUCAUCGUAAGAGGAACACACUGCGACUAGCAAGAUGUACAUCAGAUGAAGAAAUUUUGUGUAUGCCUUCAUUGAACUAUCUACUUCAAGAGUAGAAACACUGAACAUCUAGGCCACAUCUGGUCUGCAAAGACUUUCCUUCCCCUAGGCCAUGCAGCCUUGCUUGCCACUGUGUGGUAUCUCAUCCAAGAGCAAGUGUUCUGGAAGAAAAGUGGAAAAACCUUUCCAAUGGAAAAUGCUUUGAACAGUCAGAUGCUGUCCCCAGAGCUUACGCUGCUCUACUGGCUUGCAGGAAAGAUCAUAUUUUCAAAUAUUAUUUUCCUAUCAGUGUCCAAAGAACUGAAUUACUUCACUGUUCAUUGUUUCCAGAGGAAAACAGCUGUUCAUUGUACUGUAAUUACACAAAAACAAAAUCUGGCAAUUUUACACAAUAACUACGAACAGUCAGAAUGUGUAGGGAGGAUCACCUCUUAGAAUGAAGAUACCAGGCAGCUGACACUCUGACUAAUGAAGCACCAGUGCAAUGAGAGAAGCACCAGUGUAGCACCAGUGCAUCUGAAGAGUUCUAGCCUAGUGCUUCACUAGUGUGUGUGUAUGUAAGAAAUUUUCCAUGACCUCUCCUUCUCCUGGAAGCCCUGUAUCACUCAAAAAUAUGUCCCUGAGACAACUAUAUUUUUGAGUGGCGCAGAGCACUUCCUGGGGAAGGGGAGGUCAGUGAAAUUUGCCCCUACCACUGAGCCAGCAGUGGAGCUGAGUUAAUUGAGAAGCAGCAAUAUUUUGUUAGUCAAGACGUCAGUCACCUCCAUUUUAAUGAUAGCUGAGAUCACUUUUCUACAGUUUUUACUUACCAGCCUAUCCAAGCUUGUACCAGCAGCUGUUGUUGGUCUUUCCUCAGGGUUAUAGGGCCGAAAUCGCGCAUUAAAGUUAUCAGGAAUGGAGCGGGAGGUUCUUAAACCUGGAGCUGGUUUAGGCUGUCCACACCCUUGAAAGACCUAGAAGAAACAUGCCAAGUUACAAGGUUUAUUCAAAACAGAAUCUAGCAGUAUCUUGCUCCUGGACAACAAUUCCUGUUCUGGCAGGCUUUUCAUUUAUAUUUUGUGGUUUAUGCUGAUUUUCUGCCUUCGCUCUACUGGACUUACUUGUAUUGUUUUAGAGUUGUUUUUUGAUUUGUGUUCUUAUUUUAGAUCUAGUUUUAAUGGUUUCUUUGUUUCUUUGAUUUAUAUACCGCUUUUCUUAAAGUGGCUCAGGGAGGUUUAUACUGAAAUCAGAAAUCUCUCUCUCUCUCUCUCUCUCUCUCUCUCUCUCUCUCUCUCUCUCUCUCUCUCUCUCAUAUUUAUACCUGCCCAUUUAUAUCUGGGCAGCUCACAGUAAAAUAGAAAUCAGAACAAAAUAAAAAGGAUAAAAAUACAGAUUACAACAUAACACAAUAAUUUAAGAUUUAAACAGUGUUAAAAACUAUGAAAACAGUAAAAAUUUAAAGCUUGGGUGAACAACUGUGUCUUGACUGACUUUUUAAAAGUUGUCAGAGAUGGGGAGGCUCUUAUUUUGGCAGGGAGUGCAUUCCAGAGCCUCAGGGAAGCAAUAGAGAAGGCUUGUCCCUGAGUAGCCACCAGACCAGCCAGUGGCAACUGCAGACAAACCUCCCCUGAUGAUCUCAGUGGGUGGUGGGGGUCAUGACGAAGAAGACAUUCUCUUAAAUACUCAGGGGCUAUGCUGUUUAGGGCUUUAUAGGUUAUGACCAGCACCUUGUAUUUUGCCCAGAAACGUAUUGGCAGUCAGUGUUGCUCUUUCAAUACUGUAGUUCUAUGGUCUCUCCUAGAUGACCCAGAGACCAACCUGGCUGCUGCAUUCUAGACCUACUGUAGUAUCUGGACUAUGUACAAAGGCAGCCCCAUAUAGAAUGCAUUGCAGUAGUUAAGUCUGGAGGUGACCAGCAGAUGUAUCACCAUUCUGAGGUCGUUUAUCUCAAGAAACAGAUGCAGCUGGCAUGUCAGCCAAAAGCUGAUAGAAAGCACCUCUGGCCAUCGCCUCAGUCUGGGAGACCAGGCAGAAGUGUGGGUCCAGAAGCACCCCCAGACUGUGUACUUGGUCCUUCUGGGGAAGUAGGACCCCAUCCAGAACAGGAAGUGGGACCCCAUCCAGAAUGCAUUGUCUCCUGAGUUCCAAUCCCACACAAUAAAUACAUAACAAUUAAAAUCAGAAACCAAAUAAAAUCAGAUUAAAAUUUCAAUUAAAACUAAAUAUUAUUAAAAGGCAGGC